GCCAUGCCCACUCAGCAGCGUCCACAGGGCACCAGACGAGCUCGCGUCCGCAACCCACCCGUCUGCCCGAACCGGACGCCGUGGCCUCCCCGGUUCUCGGACAAGAGAGCCGAGCGUGAGCCCGGACGGAACACAAUGCCCGGUGCCGUGUGCCAAGGGACGUGGAGCCUCACGAACUUUCCAUGGCCCCUGUGUUUCCACCUACGAUGCAGCUCCAGUGGCCUGCAUUUCUGCCACGCCCGCCGCCCUGCAAAACACGCCGGCUUUCCAAUCACCAGCACGGCCUCCGGAGGGAGGGAGGGAGGGACGGAGAGACACAGACAGAGAGAGAGGGAGGAGGGGGAAGAGAGGGACGGAGAGACACAGAGGAGGAAGCGGGAGUAGGCAGGGUGCCUCCCUUGCCCUCCCCAACCAGGCUCCCUGCUGACUCUUUGUCACCCAGCCACACGUGGGCACGGAGGCCACUGAGGGAAGGGAGAAGCCGCCUCUCCCAGGGCUGGACGGACCCACGCCCCUCUGUCCCCGCCUGCGGGUCCCAUUACCGCGAGCCCACUAUCUGCCAGUUCUUCUUUUCCUAGUUUGGGAGGGGGAUCCCUUCCUGGUUUGGGAGGGGGACCCCGGAAAGUCCUCCACACCCAGCCGGGGAUCACCCUGGGCAUAUCUGCCGGCAGCUCCCUCUUCCUGACUGAGCAGCGCGCAGGCACCGACCCCCUUGGCGACAAAGAGUUGCUAAGAAGCGGCGGCCUGAAUUCAGCGCCCACGUGCGGGGAUCCGGCGCCCAAGGAACGGGAAACCUAGUUUUCCAGCUGCCCAGUUGGAGUCAAGUUCAAAGGCAGAGGACAAAAGAGAAUCCUGAAAGAAAUGUUGAGCUGCCUUCACACACAUCACAACUUACAUACAUAGAAACGUAUUUAUACAUAAAAAGAUGUCUGCACGUAUUCUGACUUCAGGAGAUCUGUGUACAGCGCCGGCGACUCAGAUGGAGCCGGGCCCUUUGUGACUAAAGCGGAUGCUGAAACCUAUUUUAAAGGAUGAUAAGAAGGACCACAGUCAUCCGGGACGUGCUCAAGGUUCAGGCUGCGGAGUCACCACCACCCACAGUGUCUGCAGGGUACCUGGAAGCCAUAUUUUGGCACUUGGCUCUCUGGACAUCUUUCCUGCCGAAGGGACCCGUGUUUCAAGCAGCUCCAAUGUCACUUGUGAAAGAAGUGUCCUCACUCAACCUAUGUCUUCAAGCUAGGUGUCCCUGACCUAGAAACACCCUCUCCGGUGACACUAUGAAGUUUUUUUUUUUUGCCAUGGAGAUGUCACAGCUCUGGCUAGGGAGGUGGAGAUUUCAAAAGGGCUUCGGACGAUUAAUGCGUUACCUUAGAAACCUGGGUGGUCCAAGGAGCUGCAGAUUUAGGGAAAAUCCAACCAAUCGCUAAAAUGAAACAAGACCCUAGAAGCCGCUCUCUCGACGAACCCGAGUUUCACGGUCUGGAAAUGUUCGAGGACGUUUUGAGUUGUCACGGUCCAGAGGCCCUUCUUAUUCAAGUACGCAGCCCUGACUUGGAAAAGUGAUGCUGCGUGGGCCUGUUGAUUCUGACGCUUUUCUGCAGUGACUUCGAAGAAAACCACACAGGGAAGCGUUGAGUGCUCACAGCGCCGUGCCGGACCCGCCUGGAAUUGGAACCCGCGGAGUCCACGCCUCACCCAAGACACACUUGGGACACGGGGAAGCAGAAAAGUGGGCGGAAACCACGAACCACGGCGCCUGCUUUCCAGAUUCUGCAAGACUGAGCUUAGCACGUGGGGCGGGCGGUUUUUCCUCUCUCUGUUGCUCACGUGCUGGUCUCUGACGCUUUUUAAAUGACUCGGAGUUCGACAGAGGACGUGGAAGUACAUGAUAUCACGUCGAGUCGUGUAUGUCUGUAGACGCAAUAAAAAAUAUACCACUAGCCACCGUUCUCCGUUCGGAUUAAAAGGUUAUUUACAUCCUCAGCUUGGGCUGUAGUUUAAGAACACCACGAAGACGUCAGGAGAAAAGAAAACUAAAAUUAAUUCCUGGAGUAUUAAAUCAUUUCAUGGGGCGGGCGGGGGGCAGGGGAAUCAGACCGAACACGGUAAGAAUAGAAAAGUGAGUUUUCAGAACCCUGGCAGUUCCUGGAAGAACAGUCUAAACUUGAUAGAACCACCAGGGUAAAUAGACGAGUAGACCUGACUAUAUAAAAAUGUAAGUAAUGGAAACACAAAAUAAAAACACGCUUAUCGCAAGCAUAUGCCUCGGGCAUAAGAAAUGCACAGUAGCGAAACGGAUAUGUGAUCGAGAGUAUGAGAGGACAAGUAACCCCCAAAACAGCGAAACUGUGGGUCCUUCUCUAGUUACAAAGGUUUGCAAUAAACUAGCCCCAAAAUCAAAGACGUGUGACUGGGAAAAAGCGUGGCAGCUGUCUUUAAAAAUUCACCUGCCUUGGAGAGAUGAGGUGUCGCAUGCCAGCGAGACAAUGGUUAGACACGUAGCUUGUCAUGCUUUCAGUGGCGAGUCUGAUGGUGUUAGAGAUGAUCCUACAUUCUGGUCCGCGAACUCUAUAUCUAGGAAUUUGUCUACCUGGAUGAAAUUUUGGAGUCCUUCAAAAACCCGGUGACCAGAGUGACCCACGUUUUUGGGGGUGAAUGGUGUUCUUUCCAAAAUUUAUAUGUUAACACCGUCACGCCCAGGACCUCAGAAAUGUGACUGGAUGUGGAGAUGGGUUUUUAACAGAGGAGAUGAAGGUCCAGUGAGGUCACCAGGGUGGCCCUGAUCCCAUAGGACUGUGUCCUUGUAAGAAGACGGGAUGAGGACACAGACACGCACAGGGAUGAGCACGUGGGCACACGGGGAGGGGACGGCGUCCACACGCCCAGGAGAGAGGCCCCGGGAGGGACCGGCCCUGCCCACACCUGCAUCUCGGACCUCAGCCUCCACAACGAGGAGACAAUACGUGUCCGUGGUUUAAGCCACCAAAUCUGUGAAAUUCCGUGGCCUUAGCAGACUAUUACACCCCUGAUUCAAGGCAGGUUUUUAUUGUAGAGAAAUAAUAGGGAGAUUUUCAACAUCCCCAAAUCGGGAAAUCUGUGUGUUUAUGCUGAUGCGUUCGUAUGAGGGAACUUUCCGGAUUCUGUAAAGGAUCCGAAUGAGAUUAGCGUGAUCUUUGGCCUCGCUCUGUCGUUUAUCUUCAUUUCCAGGACAGGGGUGAGAAAACAUUGAUCCAGUCUUAUCAGCGAGCCGUGUCGUUUUGGUGGCCGUCCCUGCUUUCAUCUGCGGACACGAGUAAUCAGAACACUGGGAAAGCUCAGAAGGACAGAAAGAACACGUGACUGAAUAGAUAGAUACACAUGCCCUGACCUUGUGGGG